AGAAACUUCCCGGCAGGUGUGUUGAGGCAAGUUGGAGUUAAACUCUGCAGGACACCGGCCCUCCAGGACCGAGUUUGGGAACCCUUGCAUUAAAACAUUAGUUAUCCUGAACUGAAACGGGAGGAAUUGUGUUCCACUGCAGAAAGAGAGGAGUAUGCUCAGAUAAAGGUCGGGAUUCGUUGAGUUUAUCAAAUAAUCGCACCUUACUGGAGAGAUUCUGUGGAUACUGAGGACUACUUCAAGCAGUUAGAACUGAAAUAUUUUCAGCUUGUGAGAGAUAAUAACUAAAGACUGAAAGUUCAAUGACAACGCCAGGUCGACCUGAAGAGGAUGACAGGCAGGACGAAAACAGCCAGAUGUGCCUAAACUAAAUAAACAUCAUCAUCUGGCCACACUUUUGACAGUAUUGUGCACUGAAGUGAGGGACUACAGGGAUGGAGUAUUAAGAAUUAUUAACAAGUCACAUGGUGUAACAUUUUCCUCACACCUUGAAUAAAUGUCUGUACAAUCUUAAUCAUUUUCAAAAAAGUUUUUGAAUGUAUUGUUUCAUGGUAAAAAUGUUCAUUUUUAAGAAUAAUAACAGUCAAGCAGUUGAGAUUUGUGUAGUAUGUCGCUUAAUAUGCUCAUGUUACAACAAGGAAAUGAUACAAUGUCCUGCACAUCAUGUUUAUUUUAGCAUUUUAUACAAAUCAGAUUGUUUCAAAGCAUCUUCAGAGUGUUUAACAGGAGCUUAACAGAAUCAAUUAUGCAAACCUCAAAAAUGAGGUAAAUCUAAAAGCAGCUGUAUGGAGUUUUUAAUGUUGAUUAAUUAAAGGAGUUUACUUGGGGAUAAUUUUUUAAGACUUACUCUUGGCAUUUUGGCCUUUCUUUUGAUAGGACAGUUAAGUAUUGACAGGAAAUGAAGUGUGAGGGAAAAUAGGACGGGAUCGGGAAAAGUCCGCAAGCCAGGACUCGAACUCGAGACGCCUGAAGAGCAACAGCUUCAUAUAUCUGCACACUGUCCAUGAGGCUACUGGCGCCGACUACCUGAAAGCAAGUUUUUGUUAUGAAGGAUGCAUUAAAACAUUAGUUAUCCUGUAAGUUAUUUAAGAAAAGUCUGGGUCUCGCUGUAUUGCUCAGGCUGCACUGCAGUGUCUAUUCUCAGGUGCGAUCCCACUACUGAUCGGCACGGGGGCUUUGACCUGCUCCGUCUCCGACCUGGGCCGGUUCACCCCUCCUUAGACGACCUGGUGGUCCCGAGUUCCCCCAGGAGCACCAUAUCGAUACCGAACUUAGUGCGGACACCCGAUCGACAUAGUCCACUGCAGCCCAGAAGCCCUGAGCUCAAGCGAUCCGCCAGCCUCAGCCUCCCAGUAGCUUGGAUUACAGGCUCCGCCACUGAACCCGGCGAGAGCCAAGCGUCUCAGCGCUGCUGCUCAACCUGCUGCUCAUAGCGCCCUCUAGUGCAGAUAAACACAACACUACACUCACAUUAGCUGCCUGAGCAGAGCCAACUAGUUAGAUAUCUUUGUUGUAUUUUCACAAGUGUUAGAUUUUCAAAGCUUUAAUCUCCAAGAUAAAGGUCGGUAUUCUUUCAGUUUAUCAAAUCACAACUUACUUUAGAGUCUGUGGAUAUUGAGGACUCAAGCACUGGUGAACAA